rnacentral:rRNA from 1 species
UACAGAGGUCCCAAGCGUUGUUCGGAUUCAUUGGGCGUAAAGGGUGCGUAGGUGGCGUCGUAAGUCGGGUGUGAAAUCUCGGGGCUUAACUCCGAAACUGCAUUCGAUACUGCGGGUCUCGAGUCCGGGAGAGGUGAGUGGAAUUCCUAGUGUAGAGGUGAAAUUCGUAGAUAUUAGGAAGAACACCAGUGGCGAAGGCGGCUCACUGGCCCGGUACUGACGCUGAGGCGCGAAAGCGUGGGGAGCAAACAGG